CGCGGAUGAGGAGGAGGAGGCGCAUGGAGUCUUGGAUGGAGGAGAGGGAGGGGGAGGGAGCAUCGGCGGGGCCGGUGAAGUUGCGGAAGAAGUGGUCCCAGGAGUCGUCGACGCUGCGGGGGUCGGAUUCCCAGGCGCGCUGGAGCUCCUCGAGGUAGACGGUGGAGGUGCCGUCGAGGAAGCUGUCUGUGAGACGGGAGAGGGGGACGGGGCGGGGGACGGGGGAGGCGAAGCGACGGUGAGCGGUGGAGUGGAAGGGGCGGGAGAGGGGCCGAGGGGGGAGGUGCGGCGAAUGGGAGAGGUUGCGGCGGAGGGCGAGGCGGGCGAUGCCCGUCGCGGCGCGGAACCACGUCAUCGGCGGCGAUCAGCGGCGGAUCGGGGCUAAUUUGGGGGAUCGGAGAGAGAAAUUGGAGUGGAAGCCGUAGCUGAGGAGGAAGAAACCCUAGCUGG
rnacentral:misc_RNA from 1 species